rnacentral:misc_RNA from 1 species
UUAGGCAGCGACAUUCGCUUGUUCAUUCUCGCUCAGGACUUGCCCAAGAGCAUGUUGCCUUGGCUCUUUUCGGUACACUGUGUUGCAUGCCAACAUUGAUGGAAUUUGACGGUGCCGUUUGUCCCUAAAUUCACCUUGUGCUGCUCGUGUGGUGCGGGGUGAACAAUGUAGUGCCUCGUGAUGCCCUGACCGUUGGCACUUCAUGUGCUGUUGGUUUGGGCGACACGGGAAACUCGAACUCUCGGAUACAGAACAUAAAGUUGGGUGUAUGGGGUCUAGCACUCCGUAAGCCCAGAUUGAGUGCUCUCGCCAACGACGUUGUUCUUCCAGGGUCUCCAACUGUGGGGAAAGCUGGAAAGCCGUUGUUGGGCAGAGAGUGUCGAAAGACAGACUGUCGAACCUCAUUCCGUAGGGGUCCGGAGGCGUACGAGAGUAUGACCGAAGGCCGCUCGGGCGGGGGUACUUUGACAUGUUUGCCAAGGAAUGCUACCUGG